CACUGAGUUGCCUUUGUAUGCUGGGCGGACCAAGCCGGAGGUUCCCACUAUGCAGCCCGGAGUCCGUGCAGCCAGAUGACGCAUGAGGUACUCACAGGGGUCUUAUAAACGAUGCUGUCACUCUUCAUUCUUUUCAACUCAAUAAUUGUAGAAUGCGUGAAAAGUUGAAAAAAGAAACGACAACCUACAAUCAACCAACAGCAUAUACAUUUGGAAAUGAGAAGAUGAGAAUAGAGGCAAAAUAUUUCUGUCUGCUUAUUUGGUUGCUCAAAGAACUUAAGUGUUAUUACUAAGCUGCAUCAUCAGUAUCCUUCACAGGUAUAUGAAAACAUGCAGGUUUGAUAUCAGUGGACCUGAAUAGAAGCCUGUGACGUUGACCUUGAUGGACCCAUGUGCAUUGGCCUUCUGCAGGCUACUUUUUACUUUACUGACCAGGUACAGUGACCUGGAGCAGCACUUCCCUCUAUAAUGGGCAGUCUAGUGCCCUCAGGAAGAUUGAAAAAGACUCAUGAUACUCACCCAAUGAUCUCUUAGAGCCUCUUGUUGUGAAUUUCAGCUUCUUGAUUGACCAGCUCACAUUUUUGUCUCUUGUGGCUGUCCUUCUGCCUCUCUCCCAUCUGUCUCAUUCAUUGAUGGGAGUUUUCUCCUUCAUUCUCUAAAGCAUCACUGACACAAGGAAGUUAUAUGCAACAGACUUUUACUAAAAAUUUAAGGAUGGCUACAGGGAUUAGAGCACAGAGCAGGAACCAACCUAAAAUGCAAAACUAGAUUACUAGACAUCUUGAAACUGCCAGCCGUCCUUCCUGCAGGGAAAACCUCACUUGCUCUGUUUAUGUUCAGGUCCUGCUUGCAGACGUGUCUCAUUAGACCACAGCUACAAAAUUUCUAUUCCUAUCCUUUUUUGCUUUUGUAAAUUAUUGCCCACUCAGAACAACAUAGGAGGCCUCGUUGUGUACAAGACUUGUUUUUUUUUUUAAAAAAACAAUAAACAGUCUCUAAAUUUUAUUCUCAAGGAAAUGAUUGUUGUUUAGUCACUAAGUUGUGUCUGACUCUUUUUUGA